GACAAGCGAUACCAAGCUCCUGGAGCACUGAUGAGGGCGACAGAGAGGAGGAGAAGAAGAGCGGGAGGAAAAAAGAAGGAGAUGAGUAAAGAAGAAAGUGAGUGAGAAAGUGAAUAAAGAGUUGGAAAUGCAGAGCAUGGAAAGUAGGAGAGUAAGAGAAAGAUGAGGAGAAAGAAGAAGAACGUAGUAGAAAAAGAGGCAGGAAGUAUGAAGAUAUAGCACGGGAAGAUAAACACUAUAGAAACAAAAAAGAGUGUUCAGGAAGCAGAGGAGGGAGUUUUGAGUGAUAGCGAACAUACUGUAGAUGAAAGCUGUCGGAGGAGUGGGACGCUGAGAAGCGUCAGCAUUGUCAGAGCAUGUUCAGCCCUCAGGGACAGCCAGGGGCCAGCUGUCAGCCUUUAUUUGGAGAGCAGAAGCUUUUCCACACUACCUGAAAUCAGCUGAGAGGUUAAGUUGUGGUGUGUGCAAGCUGCCAGCAUCAGAUCAUCGUCCUCAAAGUGUGGGGGCAAGAAGGAAAGAUGUUGGGUGCCCCCCCGGUGGAGACUGUGUACUGUGUGCAAAGUGCUCCCUGCUCUCCUUUCAGUGUUUGUUAGUUAAUCACCAUCUGCUGCUGCUGCAGUUAGUUGUAUAGCAAGAGUGGAGAGGAAAGCUAGAAGCCAGGGAACCACUGCACACAUUCAUAUACUUUGAUGAUGCGGGUUUCAAUCUGGCCGAAGGCAGAAGGCGUGGAAGAAAUUGCAUUGGACAGAGAGCAACCACUGAAGUCCCAAGCCGGCGCGGAGGGAAUGUUACAAUGUGUGCAGCCAUCUCAGACAAUGGCAUUCUCACCCAUAUUCCCCUUCUUGGUCCAUAGAAUACACAACAUCUCCUGACUUUUUUAGACACUCUUUACAGGUACAUAGUCCCUGAGAAUGAGAGGGGUGGAGGCCAACUCAACAAGUAUGUUGUUGUGUGGGAUAAUGUCAGUUUUCACUACUCACAUCUGGUCAGACAGUGGUUUGCAGCACAUGACAGAAUGCUGGUUCAAUAUCUCCCUCCCUACUCCCCAUUCCUUAAUCUGAUAGAGGAGUUUUUCUCUGCCUGGUGGUGGAAGUUUUAUGACUGGCAUUCACAUGUGCAAAUGGCCCUGCUAGCAGCCAUGGAUGCAGCAUGUGACAACAUCACAGCAGAGUGGAGAGGGUGGAGCAUUUUCUUGAGCAUUUUCAGGUAGUGUCACCAAGUUCUGACCUUUUUUUGCAUUGGAAAACACUGAGUGAAUACUGUACACUGUCAUAAUGAAAACAUGACAAAGCCAUUUGACUAUCUUGUUCAUAAAGAUGGUGUCACGACUUCUCAUUUUGAUGACACUGGCAGUUUCAUUGACAUGAAUACUUGCUUUUGAGGAAUGGAUUAUCCAUUUUGAGCAAGUGACCUGCUUUUGCAGGUUAUCCACUAGGUUUUGCAGUUUGCACCAAUUGUUUUGAGAAAUACACUAAGUGCUGUGCAAAUAUUAAUAGUGAUGUGAGAAACGCACCAAAGCGACUGAGAAAAACUGUAAAUGGCUAAAUUACCUCCUCAACAUGUUUUGAAGUUCUCCAGAGGCCUGGUAAUGAACUAAUCAUUUGAUUAAGGAAUGACAUACUAUAAGAGUGAAUAAAUGACUAAUGGCUAAAGAAAAAACAGUAUUUGUAUAUGUCUCUCGUAUUA